rnacentral:misc_RNA from 1 species
CUGCCCUCAAGCACGGCUUGUGUGUUGGGUGUGGUCCUCCCGGUUUUGGGGGGACCUGCCCGAAAGGCAGCGGCGACGCCCCGCAGGUCCUCGAGCAUAUGGGGCUUUGUCACUGGCUCGGGAGGGACCCGCGGGCGUUGGCCAACCACUAUUCUUUGACGG